GAUGAACGCUGGCGGCGUGCCUAAUACAUGCAAGUCGAGCGAACAGACGAGGAGCUUGCUCCUCUGACGUUAGCGGCGGACGGGUGAGUAACACGUGGAUAACCUACCUAUAAGACUGGGAUAACUUCGGGAAACCGGAGCUAAUACCGGAUAAUAUAUUGAACCGCAUGGUUCAAUAGUGAAAGACGGUUUUGCUGUCACUUAUAGAUGGAUCCGCGCCGCAUUAGCUAGUUGGUAAGGUAACAGCUUACCAAGGCAACGAUGCGUAGCCGACCUGAGAGGGUGAUCGGCCACACUGGAACUGAGACACGGUCCAGACUCCUACGGGAGGCAGAAGUAGGGAAUCUUCCGCAAUGGGCGAAAGCCUGAUGGAGCAACGCCGCGUGAGUGAUGAAGGUCUUCGGAUCGUAAAACUCUGUUAUUAGGGAAGAACAAAUGUGUAAGUAACUAUGCACGUCUUGACGGUACCUAAUCAGAAAGCCACGGCUAACUACGUG
rnacentral:rRNA from 1 species